GUGACCCAUAAAGGUCCUCAUACUGCUGAUGCUUUGUCAGGCAAUCAAGUUACAUGAUCUAACUGCAGAAAUGUAACAGAUAUAGUUUGUUUGGUUUUUAACUCGCCAAAAAUGUUUAAACAUAAAGAGAAGCUCCAAACACUUACAGUCAUGUUUGAAAGUAGAAUGUGUAAGAAAUGACAUUUUUUUUUCAUGUUUGAAUUCAUGCAAAACCUUUGCAGUCUCCACAAAGGCACGCAAAUGCAGCGAUGGGACCUCAUGAUCGAUUGUUGGUGUGUGCACAUGGACAUGAAACCGUGAACAGAGGAAUUUGCACAGGCCAGAAUUCAGGUUUCAUUCUGAAACCCCGGCAGAAUCAGCCCCCUAACUCUGGCUGGUGUUAAACAUGAAGGCAGCGUGUGGCUUUUUUCUUGCGUGGUUUCCCAUGUAGUACUGCUGACCUACCUCACUGCAGCUACAGCUGCUCAGACCCUUGCAUGCCUUCAGGCUUUCCUUCCGAGAGUGCUUCUGCUGCCAGAGGGUUUUGGCAACAGUUGUAAUGUGCGUGAUUAUUUCCAUUGAGGAAACCAUUGGUGAUAACAGCAACGAGGAGGUAUGUGGGUGUAAGCCACAGCUUGCUGAAGGCAUGAGACCAUUAGGGUAUGUAAGGAUAGGCUCCUGAUGCUGUCAGAGAGGAAGCGGCUCUGCACGUGAGAUAAUGUAGGGAAAGGAAUAUGCUAAACAUAGUUUAACCCCUGAGCUGCCCCCUGUGAAUAAAGUGUUUCCAAAAGCCUCCAGACUUGGCCUGAGCUAGGUGCUCACUCAGCUAAUGAAAACAUUACAUGCGCUCUGUCUAACCAAUCUGAUGUAUUUGCUAAGAAUUACAGUGAAAGGAGAUGCUUUUUGGCCACUUCUGUUGCCGUGUUCCCUGAUACCAAUGUCAAUGUUAUAAGCUCAAGCAGUAUUUUAAGUUGCUGUGAUCUCAAAUUUUGUUUUCUUAUGCAGCUGCUCAAGCCAGCUUACAUGCUGAUCAGGAUCUGCUGCAGCCUGGGAAUAAUCUGGCACCAGCUUCUUGGGCAGGUAAGCUGCAUAAAAAGAGAAAAAACAAACAGGACAAACCUGGAGUGGGUGCAUCCAGAAGCCACGCAGCGGGAUUGCAGUGGGAGCAGCCGUGACACUGUGCAGAACCUUCGACUGAGCUCUGGAUGCAGCAGCACUCAGCUGGGGUUGCACCUGAAGUACACAGACAGCCCAGCAGCCGGAGCAUGUGGGAACAUAUUGCGGAGCUUCAGGGCCUUGGUGCUGUAUUUUCCUUUCUGCCACAGCUUUCCUGCAGGACACGGGGAGAAGCAAUGA
rnacentral:lncRNA from 1 species